GACGAACGCUGGCGGCGUGCCUAAUACAUGCAAGUCGAACGCAGUGGGGACGGGUGAUUAACACGUGGGUAACCUCCCAUCAGAGGGGAUAACACUUGGAAACAGGUGCUAAACCGAUACUGAUGGAUGGACCCGCGGUGCAUUAGCUAGUUGGUGGGGUAACGGCUCACCAAGGCUACGAGGCAUAGCCGGGCUGAGAGGGUGAUCAGCGACACUGGUACUGAGACACGGCCCAGACUCCUACGGGAGGCAGCAGUGGGGAAUCUUCGGCAAUGGGCGAAAGUCUGACCGAGCAACGCCGCGUGAGUGAAGAAGGUUUUCGGAUCGUAAAGCUCUGUUGUUAGAGAAGCGGUAUCUAACCAAAAAGCCACGGCUAACUACGUGCCAGCAGCCGCGGUAAUUC
rnacentral:rRNA from 1 species